AUUGAACGCUGGCGGCAUGCUUUACACAUGCAAGUCGAACGGUAACAGCACUUCGGUGGCUGACGAGUGGCGAACGGGUGAGUAAUACAUCGGAACGUGCCUAGUAGUGGGGGAUAACUACUCGAAAGAGUAGCUAAUACCGCAUGAGAUCUAAGGAUGAAAGCAGGGGACCUUCGGGCCUUGCGCUACUAGAGCGGCUGAUGGCAGAUUAGGUAGUUGGUGGGAUAAAAGCUUACCAAGCCGACGAUCUGUAGCUGGUCUGAGAGGACGACCAGCCACACUGGGACUGAGACACGGCCCAGACUCUUACGGGAGCCAGCAGCCGGGAAUUUUAGACCAUGGGCGCAAGACUGAUCAAGCAAUGCCGCGUGCAGGAUGAAGGCCUUCGGGUUGUAAACUGCUUUUGUACGGAACGACAAGCCCUCUUCUAAUACAGGAGGGUCAUGACGGUACCGUAAGAAUAAGCACCGGCUAACUACGUG
rnacentral:rRNA from 1 species